rnacentral:rRNA from 1 species
GACGAACGCUGGCGGCGUGCUUAACACAUGCAAGUCGAACGGAAAGGCCCCUUUGGGGGUACUCGAGUGGCGAACGGGUGCGUAACACGUGAGUAACCUGCCCUUGCCUUCGGUAUAACUUCAGGAAACUGGGGCUAAUACCGGAUAGGAAUCCUUGCUGCAUGGUGGGGGUUGGAAAGCUUCGGCGGUUUUGGGUGGACUCGCGGCUUAUCAGCUUGUUGGGGGGAUAGUGGCUUACCAAGGCUUUGACGGGUAGCCGGCCUGAGAGGGCGACCGGCCACAUUGGGACUGAGAUAAGGCCCAGACUCCUACGGGAGGCAGAAGUGGGGAAUAUUGAACAAUGGGCGGAAGCCGGAUGCAGCAACGCCGCGUGCGGGAUGACGGCCUUCGGGUUGUAAACCGCUUUCAGCAGGGGCGAAGCUUGUGGUGACGGUACCUGCAGAAGAAGCACCGGCUAACUACGUG